AACCUCCGCAAUGUGAGAAAUCGCGACGGGGGGAUCCCAAGUGCCAUUCUUAACGGGAUGGCUUUUCAUUAGUGUAAAGAGCUUUUGGAAUAAGAGCUGGGCAAGACCGGUGCCAGCCGCCGCGGUAACACCGGCAGCUCUAGUGGUAACAAUUUUUAUUGGGCCUAAAGCGUCCGUAGCCGGUUUAAUAAGUCUCUGGUGAAAUCCUGUAGCUUAACUGUGGGAAUUGCUGGAGAUACUAUUAGACUUGAGACCGGGAGAGGUUAGAGGUACUCCCAGGGUAGAGGUGAAAUUCUGUAAUCCUGGGAGGACCGCCUGUUGCGAAGGCGUCUAACUGGAACGGUUCUGACGGUGAGGGACGAAAGUUAGGGGCGCGAACCGGAUUAGAUACCCGGGUAGUCCUAACUGUAAACGAUGCGGACUUGGUGUUGGGGUGGCUUUGAGCUGCUCCAGUGCCGAAGGGAAGCUGUUAAGUCCGCCGCCUGGGAAGUACGGUCGCAAGACUAAAACUUAAAGGAAUG
rnacentral:rRNA from 1 species